AAUCAACGCUGGCGGCGUGCCUCAGACAUGCAAGUCGAACGCGAAACCUUCCUUCGGGAGGGGAGUAGAGUGGCGCACGGGUGAGUAACACGUAGGUAAUUUGCCUUCGGGUGGGGAAUAACAGCCGGAAACGGCUGCUAAUACCGCAUAAUGCAGCGGCUCGACAUCGAGACAGUUGUUAAAGCGGGGGAUUCCGCAAGGAACCUCGCGCCUGGAGAGAAGCCUGCGGCAGAUUAGCUUGUUGGUAGGGUAAUGGCCUACCAAGGCGACGAUCUGUAACCGGCCUGAGAGGGCGGUCGGUCACACUGACACUGACAUACGGGUCAGACUCCUACGGGAGGCAGCAGUCGGGAAUUUUGGGCAAUGGGCGAAAGCCUGACCCAGCAACGCCGCGUGAAGGAUGAAAUCCCUCGGGAUGUAAACUUCGCAAGAAUGGGAAGAA
rnacentral:rRNA from 1 species